GUUUGUUCCUACAGAACAACAACUUGCAAACAUUUUUACAAAACCAAUCAAUGAGGAAAACUUUUGUAGGAUUAGAAGGAAACUUGGCAUAAGUGAAGCUAUUGAAUGAUAUUUGCUACAUUUGAUAUGAAUUUGCUGCUUAAUUUGGUUGAAUAUGUUUUUAGUGUUAUAUUUUGUGUAUAUGUGUUUUUAAUUAACUAUUUUG
rnacentral:misc_RNA from 1 species